rnacentral:rRNA from 1 species
AUGAUGUGUUACAGAAUUCACAUCACUCCAUCCAAAAUAUACUGCUUGGGACCUGAGGAAGAAGUAUCAAGUUAUGUGGUUAAGCAUCACAAACAGUAUGCUUCUGACUUUGCUAGAGUUACUUUUGUAGACGAAGACUGGAGUAAGCUUUUUCCAGAUGCUAUCUCAGCUAGAACUGGACGAGGGUUCUUUUCUCAACCCUUGAAAACUGGCCUAUAUCAUCGUAUUUUAUCCAUCCUUAAAGAAGGAUUUUCCAUUGGUCCAAAGAAGUAUGAAUUCCUGGCCUUCUCAGCAAGUCAGCUUCGUGGAAGUUCUAUUUGGAUGUUUGCUUCUAAUGACUCCCUGAAGGCCGAGGAUAUAAGAAGGUGGAUGGACAACUUUGAAGAUAUUCGUUCAGUAUCUAAGUGUGCGGCUAGAAUGGGCCAGUUGUUCAGCUCCUCCAGACAAACACUUGAAAUCCUACCACGGGAUGUAGAAGAGAUUCCAGAUAUUGAAGUCACAACUGAUGGCAGUAAAUACAUAUUUUCUGAUGGUAUCGGGAAGAUCUCUGAGAGACUUGCUAAAGAAAUGGCUUGCCGAAUUGGAUUAGACUAUACUAACCCUCCUUCAGCUUUUCAAAUAAGGUAUGAUGGCUACAAAGGAGUUGUUGCUGUCAACCCUGAUUCCUUUCGUAAUCUUUCUCUGCGACCUAGUAUGAAGAAAUUUGAAUCAAAGAGCAGGAUGUUUAACAUUACAAGUACCCGCAAAUCCCAACCAUGCUAUAUGAAUCGUGAAGUUAUCUCUCUCCUUUCAACUUUGGGGAUAAGAGAUGAGAUAUUUGAGUCUAUGCAACAGAAUGAUAUGCGUGAGUUAGAUGAAAUGCUGACCAACAGAGAAGUUGCUCUCUCUGUUCUGGGGAAAAUUGGUAGUGCAGAAACAAAGACAGCAUCGAAAAUUUUACUGCAAGGCUAUGAACCAAGUUUAGAGCCUUACCUGUUGAUGAUUCUUAAGGCCCAUCAGGAUAAUAGGCUGACUGACAUAAGAACUAGAUGUAAGAUUCAUGUUCCGAAAGGCCGUGUUCUUAAUGGUUGUUUGGAUGAAACAGGUGAAUUAGAAUACGGUCAAGUGUACAUCAGAAUUACAAAGAACAGCAAAGAGCAGAAGGAUAAUUGUCAGCCAUAUUUUGCUGAAGAUAAUGGAAAAGAGAAAACAGCAGUUGUUGUUGGAAAAGUUGCAGUAUCGAGAAAUCCUUGUCUCCAUCCUAGUGACAUCAGAGUACUUGAAGCUAUCUAUGACCAUGGUUUGUACGCUAAGAACCUGGUUGAUUGUGUUGUCUUCCCCCAAAGAGGAGAAAGGCCUCAUCCAAAUGAAUGCUCCGGGGGCGAUUUGGAUGGUGACCUCUAUUUUAUCACUUGGGAUGAGAAACUGAUUCCAGAGAAGGUUGAUUCACCUAUGGACUACACUGCAGCAAGGCCACGCAUAAUGGAUCAUGUUGUUACACUUGAGGUAUAUUCCUCGUUGUUUAUUCAUUUUAACUUAUCAUACUAG